UCGAUCGAGGAAAGCGCAAUCGAUCAAAGUCGAGAGGUGAAGGUUUUAGGGCUGCGAAAGCUUAGUGAUGUGAUCGACAUCAUCGUGAGGCAAUCGGCUUCGGAUUGGCUCCGCCACCUGCGUGAACAUCACGGCAGCUUUGAAUAUCUGUAAGUGUAUGUUUUGGCUAUGAAUUAUGUUGGAUAUGAGCAUAGCAAUUUGCACUCGAAGUCUUGAACACUAUCAAAUUUUCCCCUUUCUUCCUGUUCGUAUCAAAUUGAGAACUGUAAGGUUGAAUUUAUUAUAGUACUUUUAGAUUACGAUUAAUCACCUCUUCAUUCUCUUUCACUCGGUUCUUUUUUGAUUCAUUCAUAUAAAUUCUCAGUUUGUUAUUUAGGCACACCAAUCCUCAUGAGAGCCAAAUACGCAACAACCCGAUAUAACACCAGCAUCAGUGCCAAAGCCACAACCGAUAGCACUUGCCCAUCAAGCCCAACGCUCUUAAUAGCCGGAAAAUCCUCAACCAAACACGUCAAGUUACCACAUUUGUAAGUCUGCCCAUGCUCAUAUUGUGAAGCUAUCAACAACUUGUAAGUAUGUUGACUGAUGGAUAUGUAUUUGAUCCAAGAUAUGAAAUCAGGCACAUGUUGAACAUAGUAUCCACCUGCUAGUGUGAAUGAUAACAUGAUCACAGAUCCCAUAAUGGUGGCUGAUUUUUGGUUCAUAACUAGUGCUCCUACGGCUAACCCUAGCCCUUGUGAUGCCAACACGCUAAAAAGAAGUGUGAAUAGCGCAUACAAAAAACUUCCAAAAUCUGAUUUGAGCCCAGCCAUCCAGUAGGUUAUGAUGCAAAACAAUGUUGGUAGAACUAACUCCAUAGGAAGAUCUCCUAUUGUUCUUGAUAUAAAAUAAGAUGAAAGUCUAUACAUUCCUGAAGAUCGUUCUUUUCCUAGCAUUUGCCUUUCUUGAGGGAAUGUGAAAAUUGCUUGAAAUAAAGGAAAGAACCCCCAGAAUCCAGUGUAAAAGAAGAGCAAUCCUGACUGCAUAGUUUUCGAUUAAGAAACAUGUUAGAUUAUUAUUAUUAUUAUUAUUAUUAUUAUUAUUAUUAUUAUUUAUAAGUUAAAAGUGAUGACAAACAAGAGUAUAUAUUUAUAUUUUAUACCUGAUCUUGUAAGUGAGCCUUAUCAGAUUGCCACCAUAGCAAACCACAAAGGAAUGACACAGCUAUAACCUGACCGAUCUUGAGAGUGGAAAAGAAUUCAUGUUUCCUUUCUUUAACACCUCUUUUGAGUAAAACCAUGACUUGUUGCAACCAAGUCGUGCUCCAUCGUUCAUGCUUCUUGUUGUCUAAAACAUCGUUCUCAUCAUCAUUGAAUUCUACUACUUCAGCUUUUAAUUUCUCAUCAAGAUUCGACUUAUAAGCCAAAACCAACUUCUGCUUCACCGCAUUUUGAUCCCCAUAACUUGAAUUAUCCGGCGAUAUCCCUAAAAUAUUAACAACAUUUGUAGUAACUAUGCAAAUUCUUUAAAAAAAAAAAAAAAAAAAAAAAAAAAAAGGAAAUGUGUAUGUUCAACACCAAUGGUCAAGAGACAGUUACGUUCAGAACAUGAACUUGCCAGGUUCUGAACCUGAACUAAAAUGUCAUGACUAAAAUGUCAUGUCAGGUUCAGAACCUGGCAACCUGCCAGUAGAACUUGAACAAUAUUUUCAAUUUUUAUACCAUUUGCAAGAUCUAGCAAAAAGUCGGAAGGAUUCAUGGUGACCGAUGGCGAAAAUCCAAUAGUGUUAAAAUAAUCCAUAACUUCCGAUCCUUUACCAAAAAACAACGAAUUCCCUUCCGAUAACAACACCACCUUAUGAAACAUGUAAAAAAGCCUACUUGAAGGUUGAUGAAUCGUCAUAACAAUUGUUCUUCCACCUCUUGCUAAUUCCCAUAAAGUCAAAGCAAUCCUUUGAGCAGUUGUUGAAUCAAGCCCAGAUGUCGGCUCAUCCAAGAACAACAAACUAGGGUUUAUAAGCAUUUCUUGCCCGAUACUAACUCUUUUUCUCUCUCCACCCGACACCCCUCUUAAAUUCGGCCCACCGAUGAUAAUAUUCUUGCAUCUUGUUAACCUAAGUUGGUCGAUCACCGCUUCCGCAUGCGUGAUCUUUUCUUGAGUUGUGAGCUUUUUAGGCAAGCGGAGUAAGGCGGUGAAAACAAGGGUUUCGGUGACUGUUAAAUGAGGAUAUAGAAUGUCAUCUUGAGUGACAAAACCGGUGUACCGCUUCAUGAUACUUGAAAACGGUUUGCCAUUGUAGGUGAUGGUCCCGUCUAGCUUGCCACCUAGGCGGCCACCUAAUGCGGUUAAAAGGGUAGUUUUUCCACAUCCGGAUGGCCCUAACAUGGCUAACAUUUCUCCGGGCAACACCAUGCCGGUUAUUCCUUUGAGUAUCUGUUUCUCUGUAGGCUCGUGGUUUUUCUUUCUUUUUAUCCAUCCUUGUUUCUUGUUUUUGAUGGUGUAAACCACUUCUUGAAACUGUUCAAUUAAAUAAUCGGAAUAAUAAGUUUAUAACAUAUAAACACUUUUUUUUUCGAAAAAGGAUGAAAAAUGAACCUUUAGUGUAACCGGAUGAUCGACUUUGUUGAAGAUUGAUGGAGGGGAUGAGGUUUGAGCUGAUGAUUGAGCCUCUAUAUCUACCAUUUGGGUUGCCAUUUGAAUAUUUUUUUUCCUAAUUCUGAUUUACAAAUAAAAAAAUGGUAUAUGUUGUUAUUUACAUACAUACAUACAUGUGAUUCGUUAAUUGUAUGUUGGUGUAUUAUAUAGUAAGAGAACCGAAUUAAGGUGAAAUAAAAGUCAUGCAAUAGAGGUGUGCGGGUUUAUGGCACAUACCCUUGAUUUGGUGUAAGAGAAUAGAGAUGGAGAAGGAAGUCAUGCAAUAGACAUGUGCGUUUAUGAUGUGUUCCCAUGUAUUUGGGAUGAUUUGGUGUGAUAGUUUGUGUUGGGUGAAAUAUUUGUUUGUGUAAACAAAAUGUUUUUUUUUUGAAAGAGAAUGUUUGUUUGUAUUUGAUUCAGCAAUGUUUUUUUUUUAAAUGACAUUCAGUGUCACGUUUUUGUUAUGAUCAAAUGUGUAACAUUUUAUUUGUAACUUGUUUAACGGAUUGAAAUAUGAAUGAAUAUUCUGUUAAGGUAAGUUGCAUAAAUUGGGAAAAGAUAAAAACGAAAUAUGAUUGCAUAAAUUAUUGGUUAACAAAGUGAAAGAUUGUUGUUGUGUAAGUAUUUGAAAAUGGUAAACCGUGUCCAUGUCACAAGACCCAUCACAUUGGGUGUAAAUCAUAGAACAAAAUUAGCAAUACUUUGCCUUUGGGUAUGUACAACUUUGAAUCAUGGACCUCCUUUAUAGAAUUUCACAUGUAUACUCCAGUUCUCAUCUCAGCUCAGGGGUAAAAUUAAAAUCAUCUUGUCGUUAUUGUGGUUUUUUUAGAACUUAUCUUUUUAUGUUCCAAAUUUUUAUGAUAGUUUUGGAUUUUAAUGUGUUUAGGCUCUAGUUAUUGAUCUUCUGGAUGGUGCUCAAGAAAGAGUUACUAAUUCAUUGUCAUUGCUGAUGCCAUUCUGAUUGAUGUUUCAAGCUAGUAAAGUUCAUUGCUAAAUUUGGUGAUUAGUCAUUGUUCAUUUCUAUUCUUGGUAUGUUGUUUUUUGUUUGGAUUUUAUUGGUAUAAAUCUCAAAAUCCUGCUAAUUGUCUUCUAAUGGUGCUUUGUAUUAGUUCUUUUUUAUUUUAUUUUUAAAUAUUUAAUAUAUUAAUAAGUAAUAAAAAAAUUAUAUAUAAUAUAUGUGAUGCGGUGCAGUUUUUAUUUUUAUUUAUUUAUUUUUUUUGCGGUUUUUGAAAACUAAAAGCUGUACCGCACUGCAAGUUUGUAGUUUUUGAAAAACAGAAAAUCUCACCAUCGUUUCCGUUGCAGUUUCGGUUUAUUGGUUGCGGCUUAUGUGGUUUUUUCAGGUUUUUAGUUGCGGUACGGUUGGAAAUGUUGAACAUAGUCGGGAAUCGGUAAGGCUUGGUAUACACGACAUGAGGGUCUCGUAGUGAGGAAGGAGAUGGUUGACUUUCGUGGUGUAUACCAUGAAAGACCAUAGCCAAUAGCUUCUCUUCCUCUCUCUUUCUCUCAUUUCGUUGCAAGUACACCACCAAUGGUGUAAUGGUGUGGAAGGAGAUGACGAUGUGGUGGAGUUGUUUGGCGUGUCCUCAUACCCGAUGGCCUAAUAGAAGCUACUUAGAAGUUGUUUGAUAGUUGUUAGCUAGGUUAGAGCUGACUGAGCUAGAAGCCGAUUGGGUUAGAAGUUAUGAAUUAACUUCUGAUUGAAACUUGAUAUUUGAUUUUGCAUCCGAUUGGUAGUGCAAAAUAACUAUAUUUUUUAUAAUAAUUUCUUUAUGAUUUACCAUUUAA
rnacentral:lncRNA from 1 species